GGGAAAAAUUUAUUGCUAUUAGAUGAGCCUAUAUUAGAUUAGCUAGUUGGUGGAGUAAUAGCCUACCAAGGCAAUGAUCUAUAGCUGAUCUGAGAGGAUGAUCAGCCACACUGGAACUGAGAUACGGUCCAGACUCCUACGGGAGGCAGCAGUGGGGAAUAUUGGACAAUGGGCGAAAGCCUGAUCCAGCCAUGCCGCAUGAGUGAAGAAGGCCUUUGGGUUGUAAAGCUCUUUUAGUGAGGAAGAUAAUGACGGUACUCACAGAAGAAGUCCUGGCUAACUCCGUGCCAGCAGCCGCGGUAAUACGGAGAGGGCUAGCGUUAUUCGGAAUUAUUGGGCGUAAAGGGCGCGUAGGCGGAUUAGUAAGUUAAAAGUGAAAUCCCAAGGCUCAACCUUGGAAUUGCUUUUAAAACUGCUAAUCUAGAGAUUGAAAGAGGAUAGAGGAAUUCCUAGUGUAGAGGUGAAAUUCGUAAAUAUUAGGAGGAACACCAGUGGCGAAGGCGUCUAUCUGGUUCAAAUCUGACGCUGAGGCGCGAAGGCGUGGGGAGCAAACAGGAUUAGAUACCCUGGUAGUCCACGCUGUAAACGAUGAAUGUUAAAUAUGGGAAGUUUUACUUUCUGUAUUACAGCUAACGCGUUAAACAUUCCGCCUGGGGACUACGGUCGCAAGAUUAAAACUCAAAGGAAUUGACG
rnacentral:rRNA from 1 species